rnacentral:pre_miRNA from 1 species
UAGCUACUCCCUCCGUCCGGAAAUACUUGUCAUCAAAAUAAAUAAAAGGGGAUGUAUCUAGAUGUAUUUUAGUUUUAGAUACAUCCUUUUUUAUCCAUUUUGAUGACAACUAUUUUCGGACGGAGGGAGUACGUG